rnacentral:rRNA from 1 species
UACGUAGGGUGCAAGCGUUGUCCGGAAUUAUUGGGCGUAAAGAGCUCGUAGGCGGUUCGUCGCGUCGGCUGUGAAAACCUGAGGCUCAACCUCAGGCCUGCAGUCGAUACGGGCGGACUUGAGUACUGCAGGGGAGACUGGAAUUCCUGGUGUAGCGGUGAAAUGCGCAGAUAUCAGGAGGAACACCAAUAGCGAAGGCAGCUCGCUGGGACGUUACUGACACUGAGGCGCGAAAGCGUGGGGAGCGAACAGG